rnacentral:lncRNA from 1 species
GUCUGAUCCAGCUGAGGGUGAGUUCCUUCCUGCCCCCAAAACACAGAUUGCCAAACAUUCCACUUUCUGGCUGAGAAAUAUCAGUGCUGAAAACAACAAUAACAAAAAUUCAGUCCGGGGAAUGCGGAUGCUGGCACUGCGAUCGGCGACGCCAGCUGAAAAGUCGUUGAUGUUGGACGUUUUGUGGAACCCAGUCAGACGACGGGCAUUGUCCAGCCCCCCCUUGGGAUCGUAGGCUCGAAUAUGGUACCGGUGCCGCUUGCUUAGUUUCUCAAUGGCCUCCUUGAUGUGCUUCAGACCAUUCUCCUCCCGCAUGGUCUUGGUACUAAAGUUGGUAUGGCAGCCUGCACCAUUCCAGUUCCCAGGAAUGGGCUUGGGGUCAAAGGUUGCUAUUACCCCAAAGUCUUUACAUACUCGAUGCAAGAUGAAACGGGCCACCCACAGAUGAUCUCCCAUGCGGAUUCCUUCACAGGGUCCUAUUUGGAAUUCCCACUGGGCAUGCUUGACCUCAGCAUAUGUUCCUGUAAUCUUGACCCCAGCAUACAAGCAGGCAAGGUAGUGAGCCUCCAUGAUAUCCCUGCGAUAGGCUUUGUCUGCGCCCACACCACAGUAAUACAGACCUUGGGGCCCAGGGAAGCCAUCGGAAGGCCAACCAAAAGGGUGCCCAUCUGUUCCCAAGAGAGUAUACUCCUGUUCCAUUCCAAACCAGGGGUGCUGGUUGCUCACCAUGUCCAUUAUCCGUUUACACGUGUGUCUUAAAUUGGUCUCUGCAGGCUUCCGGUUGUACUUGAAGACUUCACAGAACACCAGCUUGUUGGGCUCUUUGCGGAAGGGGUCCCGAAACAUGGCAACAGGGCUGAGAUACAUGUCACUGUUGGAGCCCUCAGACUGAAAGGUACUAGAGCCAUCAAAAUUCCACUCAGGUAACUCUUCUACACACUUGGGCUCACAGUCCAGGGUGCGGGUUUUGCAGCGCAGUCCUUCUCCGGUACCAUCAACCCAGAUAUACAUGGCUUGGACUUUCUCACCCUGGGGCAGGGACAUGUACAUUUGCUUGAUGCCUUUGUUCAAGUGGGAACUUGCUGAGGUGGCCAUGGUGGAAGGUGUUCUGAGUGGUGGCUGGCGGGAUGAUGGAC